rnacentral:lncRNA from 1 species
GCAGUGUAGCACAAAUAUAACAACAGUAAACAUGCGAAAUUGGUUUUUUUAGUCAUCUGAACUCUUUCAGUAUCACUAGUUCAACUCCAUCUGGCCCUAUCCAGGAAAAAUCAGCCCUCAUGAUCACUGCUUCAUAGACACUUUACUAACUCGUUCACUUGUACAAACUAAUUCAAGUAUUUUGACUAGUUUUAGCACACUGAUAACAAACAAAAUAAAGCACAAAAAAUACAGCAAAACAGAUGAUUAGACAGACAUAAACUCAAUACAGUCAAGUCUGUGAGAAAUCAAGUGGAUAAUCAAGUUAGUGAAAAGGACCUAACUGGUUUGUUUGUUCAGACACUAUUCAAAUUUCGAGAUAGGCACAAGAAUUUUGUUCUUCAGAAUAUGCCAGAAAGGUAAAAUGGAGAGAUUCCUACGUUACCACCCCGAAAUAUAUGGCGAUGACACUGUGGAAUUUUGGUGUCUUAACACGCAGAUGAGCAUAUUCUGUCCUCUUGAUGGCCAGCAAAGUGGAUAGCAUAAAAUUACUUACUUGUCUCUCCUUGGUUGACAAUUUCAAGUACUUGGUAAAUAAAAAUAUUCAAGGGUGGCAUUAACCUUGUACUCAGAAAAUUAUGAUGAAACACUUUCAAAGCAGGUCCCUCUAAACUAUUAAUUUCUCCAAUGUUCUAUAGGAGUGUAUUCUCAAACAUCAAUAUUUGAGCUAUUCAGUGAAUACCUGAAACACCAAAGGUUAUUAAUAUGGUGGGGCCCCAAACACCUUUGGCUAAGUUAAGACAUAGUCUAAAACUUGCUCUCAAUGGAUGUGUAUUAUUUAGUCAUGAAUACAUUUUCCUUAUAUAUGAGUUAAAUCAUAUUUUAAUGUUUUACCUCUGGGAGUUUGCAUAGCUUGGAAGUUAAUAAGCAUAGACCCUAACAAGUGAUAUUAGAAAGUCUGUGUUGAAUAGUUAAGGAAUUUCUUCAACCAAAGUUGUUUAUCAAAAAUCUUAAAAUGAUUUCCAGCUACAACAAUUACAAUAAAAACACAUAGUGGCAAUUUGACUGUUUAUAAUCGAUAUUCAAU